CUGCGUGCCUUGCGCCGCGCGCCGGUGGCGCCGGGAGAUGGAGGCAGGAACGGAGCGCGCAGGAACAGGCGCUGGCGCCCCAGCGGAACCCGGAAGCGGCGAGUGACGUCACGGAACAUUUUCAGAGCAUGGAGAGCGUGUACAGCCCAGCCAGCCUGGGAGACCCCAAACAACUCUUCCAAGAGGAGAGGAAUCCAUGGAAUAAGCUGACAAGGGCCCUGGAAGCCAAUCAUUAUAUGGAGGCUCAAAAAAAGCUGGAGAGACCACACUGCAAAGAUCUGAGCACCCAGCAACGAGCAAGUUUGUGAGCAACACCAAGGAACACGUCUUCAUCAUCUGCAAUGAAGAAGAGCAGAGCUUCAGGCCUUCUCCUGCAUUCUCAGUGCUCCACCCAGCAACCACAAUGCAGGGUGACAGUUUGGAUCUCAGCACCUCGAGGACAUCCUCAGGAGAGAGCGGCUGCCAGGCCAAGCUGUCCCUCCUCCCCAGGCCCAGGCUCUCCCUAAAGCCAAGUGCUGUGACUGAGCCCAUCUCAGCCCUGCUCCCAUACACAAACCUCACUGUCUCCCUGGGACACGCUAAUCCCACUGUCUGUCUUCUCAUCCCAAAUACAGGAACAACCACCCUUGCUCCUGUUGCACCCUCUGAAAGCAUCAGCAUUGUGCUGGCUGAGGCAGAUAUUAUUACCCAGGUUGCACAAAGCACAAGUACCUUGGAUAAGGACACAGAGUCACUGUCAGCUUGUGUCCUAAAGCCACCCCUCCACAACACUGCUGGUUUUUGGCACCUAUGCCUGACAUAAGAAGCAGAAAGAAGACAGCCCAGUUACAUGUCCCAGCUGAAAUGUGCAGCAUUAGCAAGCCACACAUCAUCUGCACUCCAUGCAGGCAGAUCCACAAGGCUGUUCCCCUGCCUGAGUCACAGCCUGAAGUUGGCCAUUUCUGGGGACACAGACUGUAACUCCUCAGGGGGUAACUCCCCAGCCACCCAGCAAGUUCUAGUCCAGCACUGUGAGGGUCCACAUGCACAUAAAUGACCAGUUCUCAUGUUCAUUCACACAGAGAUGCUCCAGGACUGAAGCACUUGAGCAUCCAGAGGAGAAGGACUGGAUAUUAAAUAAAACAUGAACAGUAAUAGGCACUAAACAUAAGGACAGUGGCUUUUCCCUCCCUUUGUGUCUUUAUUGGAAGCUCAUGGUCCAGUGUGGCUGAGUUUCUUAGGUAUCGUGGGCAUGAUACGCUCACAGAUACCAUUUGAGCUAUCUAAAUUAGGUUAAACUAGGCCUCAGGCCUAGGUCUAGUAGGCUGCAAAACGUUUAACAUACGUAGUAGUAGAUAAACUUAUCUUUUACUAAGUAUGUGUUAAAGUAUAGACGCUUGCAGCAUAGAAGUAAUAGCACUAAAUCUCUGUAGUUACUUUAACUCUAGAUUGCUUACAUACUUUUGUAUGUUCACCGCUUAUCACAGUACACCUGCUAACUGUAAACUAUUCGUGUUGUACUUAACUAGCCAUCUCACAGAAUAA